rnacentral:lncRNA from 13 species
UGAAGGGCAAGGACUUCCUCCUGUUCCUCAUCUUCUCCAUGUUGGUCCAGGGCCCCAUGACCAACACCCUGGAAAACUUUGACCGUGCAGCGGACAGCGUGGUGUGUGGGGCCGAACCUGCCACGAGCCAGACCCAGCAGCUCGUUCCCUGAGAAACGUGUUACACUUCCUGGUCGGCAUUGGCGAGGUGUGUAAUGACAAACUGGGUACCCCCUGUAAGAAGUGUAACAAGCUAUUUGAUGAUGCCCGUGAUGACUGCAUGGAGAUCCUGUCUGUGUUCAACUUCCUUUGUCACAUUGUGGAUGGGUUCUGUCCCCUCUGUGGUCUCGCUUGAGCAACCAUAGCAGUUUUCGAGAAGAUGAAGAAGGAGUUUGAGUUCAACAUAUCGGCCCCUAUGCACUUUGACAUGAAUGUGAACAGCAGUCAGACGGUGCAACAGGUGUCAUAUGAUGGAGGAAGUGUCGGUGGAGC